CAGUCGCCGCGGGAAUACGAAGGGUGCAAGCGUUAAUCGGAAUUACUGGGCGUAAAGCGUGCGUAGGCGGUUUGUUAAGUCUGCUGUGAAAUCCCCGGGCUCAACCUGGGAAUGGCAGUGGAUACUGGCAAGCUAGAGUGUGUCAGAGGAUGGUGGAAUUCCCGGUGUAGCGGUGAAAUGCGUAGAGAUCGGGAGGGACAUCAGUGGCGAAGGCGGCCAUCUGGGACAACACUGACGCUGAGGCACGAAAGCGUGGGGAGCAAACAGGAUUAGAUACCCCGGUAGUCCCUGUCUCUUAUAC
rnacentral:rRNA from 1 species